rnacentral:rRNA from 1 species
CAAUAGCGUAUAUUUAAGUUGUUGCAGUUAAAAAGCUCGUAGUUGGAUUUCGGAUGGGACUUGCCGGUCCGUCGUUUCGAUGUGCACUGGCCAGUCCUAUCUUGUUGUCGGGGACUAGCUCCUGGGCUUCACUGUCCGGGACUAGGAGCUGACGAGGUUACUUUGAGUAAAUUAGAGUGUUCAAAGCAAGCCUACGCUCUGAAUACAUUAGCAUGGAAUAACACGAUAGGACUCUGGAUUAUCUUGUUGGUCUGUGAGACCAGAGUAAUGAUUAAGAGGGACAGUCGGGGGCAUUCGUAUUUCAUUGUCAGAGGUGAAAUUCUUGGAUUUAUGAAAGACGAACUUCUGCGAAAGCAUUUGUCAAGGAUGUUUUCAUUAA